GGAGCAACUUGGGAGUAAAGACUAGGGAGCAGCCCUCUGCCCUCUUCUUUCUAGGAUAGGAGCAUGGUUGUCCUGUGGAGCCCUGGCAGAGAACUAAGAGAACAAAAAUACUCAGAGGAGAAUCAUCCAUUAGAAAAGAUUUUCAGCUGAUUCAUCAACAGAGAGAGAAAGAGACAGAGAGAGACAAAAAGAGUCAAGAUGGGGGGCAGUUUGAAUGAGUAAAUGGUCAUGAAUUUAAAGCCAUCAAUACUUCAGAUCAAAUCAUUCAAGUCAAAUAUUGAGGGGACUUUGCUCCUAGGGAAUUCUAUACUCAGAAUCCAAAGCUUGGGUAUAUCUUCUCUUUUUUAAAAUUCAAUUUUGAAAGCCCUUGAUUUCAAUUUUCUUUUUAACAUGUUGGGUACAUUUUAUUGGAGGUGCCAAGAGAAAAGGAUGAAAGUAUGUUGCCAUAGUAAUUGUCUCCAUGUAGUUUGGAAGGCUAUCAUGGGAAAUUAGGCAAUUAAUAAAAUGCUGUUA